CUUUACCGACAGUUUCUAGAAAAAUCCCUAGACGCGAGUUCUCAAAUUACGUCGUCAUUUCUAAACAGAAUGCAAAAAAAUUAGAGGGACAUGUCCGGGAGGCCCUAAAGAAUUGUAGUCUAGUCCUUAUAUUACCCAAAUCGUCAAAAAAUUAUAAAAUAUUGAAAUUUAUGUGUGUCAACCGUCAAGAAAAUGACGGAUCGGACUCACCAGCAUCAAUUUAUUCGUAAUAUAAAUAUUUCUGUAAAUCGUGUGUCCAAAUGGGUACCAAACUACCAUUCUUUGGGUCAGAUAGAACAAAACGAGCAUUCAAGGGAUGAUGUACAAGCCUCCAGGAGACACUUUCGUAUUCGAGGAAGAAUAAAACUGUUUCAACUAGUACGCCGCCCCCAAGGGUGAACGGAAUUGUAACCUUUGGUGGGAAAUAAAAUAAGAAUUAAGAAUUUCUCAA